GAAAAUCUGAGGGAGAAAUAGGGGGGAAAAAACUAAAAAGUUGUCAUGCCGCUGGUGCUGCAGGCAGAGUGACAGCAAGGGAUGUCAGAGAGACACAAUCAAACCAAGACCGAGAUAGAGAACAGACAAGGACAGGAAGACACAGAGACUGAUUCUCUGUGCUGACUCACCUUGGACAGCUUCUACUUCCUUGCAGGGGAUUGUGGAGGCGGAGGAGGAGGAGGAGGACAGACAACAACAACAACAGCAGCACACAAAGCUCGGGAGUCUUACAGAUUUAUGCAGAAGUAUCCCACCCUUCAAAGACCUCUAUGAACCACCUCUGAGAGGCAAAGCAUGUCUGUCACAGAUUUAUCAAAGGCAGACAGAGUGACAUUAUCCAGGCCAG
ensembl:lncRNA